rnacentral:lncRNA from 1 species
GGGGGGUUGGGCUCUGUGUGUGUGAGAGAGAGAAAGCAGUGAGUGAAUGUGUGUUAUAUGUCUGUGUGUUUGUGCAUGCGUGUCUGUGUGUGUGUGUGUAUGUGCUUGCUCUGUUCCUUUCCUUUCUUUGUUUGACUACUGAGUGAGUGGGGAAAAAAGGAGACAGAAUAUAGAGGGAGAAAGAUAGAAAGACGAGCUUCAACCGGUCACUUAUUUUAUAGAGAGAAAGGAAAGAAAAGCUGAGGAUUCUCUAUAUCCAUCCUGAGAUACCUAUAUCUUUCUAUUCUUUGUUCUAUUUGCAAAAAUACAGAGUUCCACAAAGCUGCACGCUUUUGACAACAGUGUCAAAUUCAGGAGCGAGUGUGUGUUUUGUGUGCUGGGCUCAGUGUGCGUGUGUGUGUGCUGAGGAGGUGGGGGCAGGCAGCCUGUGCUGUUUAAAGGGAAAAUACAAGGCACACACAAAGCUGGGAGCAGGCAAGGCAGAGAAGGGAAGGCAGUGGGAAUCUGCUGAUCUGGCUCACGCUCCAACCAACAAGCCUCCUCUGUGGGAUUUUUUUUACUCCAUCAGCCGCUGGCCUCCUGGGUGCCCGACCACGGAGGCGGAGGGUGUCAUGGUGGGCGGGGCCUGCUGAAAGACGAAGACUUGACCUCUCACCAGGUGAGCACUAUUUAAUAUCAUCGCAAAUGUUUUAUUGUUGUGUGUGUGUGUGUGUGUGUGCUUGUGCUUGUGCCUGGGCAUGG